AAUAUAUUUAUUAUUAUUGGAAUUUUCAUCAAUAAUAAUAAAUAUAUUCUACAAUAUACAAUAAUAAAAUUUCGAAAAAUUUUCAGAUCAGCAAAAAAAUAAUUUUUAGAAAUAACGACUGACCAUUCCAAACCAAUGAUAGGAAAUCAUGGCAGCCACUUGAUGCUGCCAAUAACUUUUGCUGCAAAUCCUGGCAACUGCCUCAAAAGGAUUAAUAUACAGGGUACCUCACAAUUCGACAUUAAUCCAUUGCAUACUGUUGUCAAAUUGAGAAACUGUCAAAUUGUGGGACAAUAUUUCCCAUAUAAGACUAUAGAAAAUAGAUUAAUUCAUUGUUGGACUCUUGCCUCACUAUUCCUAAUAGAGAGAUGAGAGAGAUAUACUAUAUUAUUUUCUUUACUAUAUGUAUUUUACUAUUGUAUAACACACUAAAUUACAAAAUACACUAUUUUAUACACAAUACACAAUUUAUUAACCUUUGGAUGUUGAAAUGAAGUCCUUCAGUAGAUACCCUAG
rnacentral:lncRNA from 1 species